rnacentral:rRNA from 1 species
UUGGCCUUGACAUACUAAGAACUUUCCAGAGAUGGAUUGGUGCCUUCGGGAACUUAGAUACAGGUGCUGCAUGGCUGUCGUCAGCUCGUGUCGUGAGAUGUUGGGUUAAGCCGCAACGAGCGCAACCCUUUUCCUUAUUUGCCAGCGGGUAAUGCCGGGAACUUUAAGGAUACUGCCAGUGACAAACUGGAGGAAGGCGGGGACGACGUCAAGUCAUCAUGGCCCUUACGGCCAGGGCUACACACGUGCUACAAUGGUCGGUACAAAGGGUUGCUACCUCGCGAGAGGAUGCUAAUCUCAAAAAGCCGAUCGUAGUCCGGAUCGCAGUCUGCAACUCGACUGCGUGAAGUCGGAAUCGCUAGUAAUCGCGGAUCAGAAUGCCGCGGUGAAUACGUUCCCGGGCCUUGUACACACCGCCCGUCACACCAUGGGAGUUUGUUGCACCAGAAGUAGGUAGUCUAACCGCAAGGAGGACGCUUACCACGGUGUGGCCGAUGACUGGGGUGAAGUCGUAACAAGGUAGGCGUAGAUGA